rnacentral:lncRNA from 1 species
UCCUCCCACCCCAGAAGCAAGAUCUAGAGCUCCUGACUUCGACAUCACCGGNAGAGCUCCCGACUUCGACAUCACCGGAUCCCGUCGACAACAAAUUAUCUGCUAAAUAAUUCCAAGGAAAGGGUUAUUCAUAAAAAAAUGUGGAUCUGCCGUUCCGAAUAUGCACUUGAAGGACCAGAUCUAUGGAGGAAAAUAGAAAUGAAAAAGGAUAAAAAGGGAUGACGAUCUGCCUUUUCCCAAUAUGCACUUGAAAGACCAGAUCUAUGGAGGAAAACAGAAACGAAAAAUGUAAUGACCUGAAGUAUAAGUAGCAGUAGUUAACAGAGGAGGUAAAUAAAAGUGUUAACUUUGCAUAGUAAACAGAAAUAAGGGCCGCAGCAGGUUGAGGAAGGCGCGAGCUUGGUAGAACUCCGGCGGCGUGAGGGCGCUCGGGUGGAACUCCGGCGGAACGACGGAACUAGGGCAUCCUCAGAGCUCGGAGAGGGCGAUGGGAGGAUCGAGAAGGGAGAAAAGGGGGUCCGACAGAUCUUGGUAUUUGGGGCGAAGAAGAGAACCGGCGGGUUUAGGGAUGUCAAUG